rnacentral:lncRNA from 1 species
CAACUUUCAUAUUUUGUUUUUCAGUUUUAUAGUAGAUGUUUCCUGCUUCUACAGCUGCUGGGUGUGUCCCUCCUCCUGUUCCUGUGAUCUAAACCUAAAAAAAACCUUCUCAAAAAAGAAGAAAGAAGUCGAGCAGAGUCACAAGUAUUCUCUCUCACACACACACAGACACAGACACACACACACACACACACACACACUUUACAGGGUCCCAUGAACAUGUUAGCUUUUUAGAUUCACAGUAUCUCAACACUUUCCAUUUUAGAGAACAUUUUUGCCUUACAAAACUAAAUCUGUCCAGCCCAGUUGCUUUUUCAGAACAGAGGAAAGUUAAUACUAAAUGGUAUAUUGUCUCUAAUUUUGCUAGCCUAAGAGAAAAACUGCCUGCAGCUCAAAGCCAAAUUCCUCAAGGUGUUUGAGCUCAAAGCUAACCACAACAGGAAGAGGAAGUGCAUGGUAUCUCAUAUUCAGUAUAAUUUUGUUGUUCUCUCCCCAUGAAUCUAACUUCUCACAGACUAGAGCACCCGUGGAAGCGCAGGAAAUCACUUCUGGGCAUCCGAGAUUGAGAGCAUCCACAACAGGGUGAUUUGGGAUUUGCUGCCUUCAGUAUCUACUCUUUGCCUACUACCUUCCACUGGAGGUUUCCUGCUGGAUGUGUCAGAGCCAAUUCAGCCUUUCCUCCUUCUCCAUGGCCAACUGCAUUUCUGUUCGGAUUCAAUUCUCCAUCUUUCCUUGCUUGCCAGAGAAUGGACAAUUUCAAAUAACCAGCUGUUUCACUUCUCUAUCUUCCUCUUCCAGGAUGUGAGGCAUGAGGUUGUAGGUAUGAGAGAAGAUCUGGAAUUCCUUUUCCAGGGUCCAAAAAACUUGGACCUUGACCCUCCUGGUGCCAAGAAAACGAAGUCUCUUAAACAGACCUAAACUCAUCUCCCCUACUCCAAAGUUUUCAGAUACCCAGAGAAUCAGCUUUAUAACCAUUCCACUUCUCUCCCAGCAUAUUGGUGGAGUUUUGAAUUCUCCAUCCUUGUGAGCCAAGUUCCUAAGGGCCUUCUGUUAAGGGUCUGGACAACUAAUUCUCUGAUUUGUAGAGAUCAGACACUCUUCUACUUCUGAGGCCAAAAGAUAAGCAGGGAGUAAUCUUUCCCUGUAACAACAGUGCUCUGUUUGUAUCCUCUUUUAGACAAUGCCGAAAGACUUCCCUAACAUGGGCUCAUUUCUGCUAGUGAAUAGACUAGCUUCUUCAACACACACAUCUUUUUCCUUUCUUAGGAGUUGAAAGAUCUGCCAGUGGAGAGCUUACUCGUUACCCAACCCUCCACCACAAUGGAGCUGUCACCUCCCUUUCAUGGGCAAACAACUCAGGGGCCUUCCCCAUUUGUAUCUUAACCCUGCAAUUGUCUGGUGGGUGGAGUCUCCUGCUUCGGAACUGAUAUCUUCCUCCCCAGUCAGAGGGUGGAGGGUCUGCGUGGGAUAAACCACUCCACUAUCAUAGAUAACCUCUUAACAGAUUGUUGGUGGAGCUUGUCUCUCACUCACUCAGUUGCCUGAUAUUUGCCAUUUACCCCCAAACUUAACUGCAUCCCACCUGCCCACCACACCACACCCUUGCUAAGUAUGCCACACCCUUGGCACCUUCACUGACCCAAGUUCCACGUAGUUUACUGUUUCUUUUGCUCUAGUCAUGUUACAGUUUGCACAAUCACCCAGCUCUUCAGAGAAUUCCCUGACUUCCUGGAUACCUUGCUAAAUUGCUUCACAAACUCCUGUGUCCUCAUAAUCCUUUUUAUUGAUUUCAAGUUGUUCUCCUGGGAGAUCUCUCCUCCUUCUACUGAAUGGUUUGACACCCAACCAGUACCACACAGAGAAAAAUCGAAUGUAUACUCAUGAAAGCCUGCAGGGUACAAUAGUUAAGAGUUGAGGUCCUGAAGUUAGACUGCUUGAAUUCAGUUUUGCCAUUUACUAAAGAACUUCAUCG